rnacentral:rRNA from 1 species
UACGUAGGGUGCAAGCGUUAAUCGGAAUUACUGGGCGUAAAGCGUGCGCAGGCGGUGAUGCAAGACAGGGGUGAAAUCCCCGGGCUUAACCUGGGAACUGCAUUUGUGACUGCAUCGCUGGAGUGCGGGAGAGGGGGAUGGAAUUCCGCGUGUAGCAGUGAAAUGCGUAGAUAUGCGGAGGAACACCGAUGGCGAAGGCAAUCCCCUGGGCCUGCACUGACGCUCAUGCGCGAAAGCGUGGGGAGCAAACAGG